CGGUGCGUGUGCAGGAGCCCAGACUCCUGACUCUGCCUCUGGCCGGCCACCCCGUGUACUGUGGCUGCGGCUGGGCGUGCAGGGGGUUCAGGCUGUAGGGGUCGUUGACAUGGGAGUAAGGAUCUUGCGACUGGGGGUAGAUAGGCUGGUAGGGCGGGGGGAAGGAAGGGAGCUGGAAGUCUGCAUUGGGGGUGUGGGACAGCGGCGGGGCUGUAGGGAGAUUGACCUAUAGUGCCCAGCUGGGGCAACCACGCCGUCCGUCUGCUGGUGCCAUUGUGAUGGUCCUGCCAGUCCCCAAUUUUGGCAAGUAUGGACAUCCCGGCUUGGCGCUCCUGGCGAUGGGUCCCCACCAGGCAUGGGCUGGAGGGCUCCGCAGGGCCCGCUUGCUGGAAUCGCUUAGGCAAAUCCUCCUGUUUACCCGCUCACCAACAUCUCACCUGGUCAUAAAGAGCUCAGAUUUUGUUAUGUAAUUAAUUUUAAUGCUAUGAUGGCCGGGCCCCUCCCUCAGAAUUGGAAAUCUCUUUGUAUGUUUUUUUUUUUUUAGAUUUGUGUAAACCUUGUAUGCGUGGAAUCAAGAAUGAUUAAGGAAAGUGCAAAGACUUGUGCACAAAGGUGCUCUGGACAUGGAGUAAGUAAUAAGUAAGCCCAUGUUUCCUUGAAUCACAUCUCUCUUGGAAGCUUUUCAAUGUCACUCAUUAAUUUAUGUUUAUCAGGUUCUGACUAUGUGCCAGGACCUUGUGUAUCUAGAUUCAAUUUGGAGCUAAAUUGAGUAAACCCAGCAGCUAUAAUUAGUGUUAAAAACCACUUUGAUUUGAAUUGAAUUGCUGAUGACCUAAAAAAGUAUAUUAUUAUAGUUGUGUACUUUUCAAAAGAUGUUAAAUAUAUCAGUAAAUACAUAAACUUGUUCACAAAAGGAAGAUAAUUCCUGUGUCUUAUGAAUAUAAGUGGUCAUGGGAAAUUUGAUUUUAUCUCCUUUUAAAAAUAUGCUUGCUUUUGUAGAGCUUUAGUUUCAUAGCAAAAUUUAGUAGAAAGUGCAGAGAUUUUUGCAUAGACCCUCUUGACUCCAUUUGUAUACAACCUAUCACAAUUUCAACAUCACAAACCACUGUGUAACACUUGUACAAUUGAUUAUGUACACUGAUACAUAAUUAUCACCAAGAGUUCAUAGCUUACAUUAGAGUUGACUCUCAGUGUUAUAUUAUCUUUGAGUUUUUGAUUAAUAUAUAAUUACAUGUGUCCACUGGUAUGAUCAGAGUACUUUUACUCCCCUAAAAAGCUUCUGAGCUCCAUAUAUUCAAUCUUCUAUUUCCUCUAACCCCAGGCAACCACUGAUGUUUUUACCCUCUCUGUUAUUUUUUUUUUUUUUUGAGUAUCAAGUUAUUGGAAUCAUAAAUUAUGUAGGCUUUUCAGAUUGCUUCUUUCACUUAAUGAUAUGCAUUUGAUAUGCAUUCUCCACUUUUUUUUUUCUUUUCUGGAGGUCUUUUCUUUUUUUUAGUAACUUAAAAAAUGAAUUAAUUUUAAGAUUAGUUUCAGGUUCACAGCAAAAUUGGAUUAAGAUACAGGUAGUUCCCAUAUAGUUCAUACCUCAAACAUUCCUAGCUCUCUUCAUUUUCAGCAUGCCUCAUCAGAGUUGUACAAUUCUUAUAAUGGAUGAACCUACAUGGAUACACCAUCAUCACCCAAAGUCCAUAGUGUAUGUUAGGGUUCACUUUUUAUUUUGUAUGUCUUAUGGAUUUUGACAAGUGCAUAAUGACACUUGUCUCUCCCAUUAUAUCAUACAGAGUAUUUUUACUACCUUAGAAGUCCUCUGACUUUUCUCUUAAUCCUUCCCUCCCACUUAGCUCCUGGAACCCAGUGAAUUUUUUUCUCCAUAGCUUUUCCAUAAAAUCAUAUUCCUGGAGUCAUACAUUAUGUAGACUUUUUAGAUUGACUUAUUUAUUAAUAUGCAUUUAAGAGUCCUCUAUAUAUUUUCAUGCCUUGAUAGCUCAUUUCUUUUUAAUGUGAAAUAAUGUUAUUUAAUGUGAAAUAAUGUUACAUUGUCUUGAUAUACUGCAAUUAUUUAUUCAUUUACCUGCUGAAAAACAUUCUGGUUGCUUCUAAGUUUUAGCAAUUAUGAAUAAAGCUGUUAUAACCAUUCUUGUUCAGGUUUUUCGACGAAGAAUAUACAUUUUCAACUCCUUUGUGUAAAGGAUUGCAACCAGAGAAUCCUAUGGUGGGAAGAUGCCUAAUAUUGGAAGAGACUGUCAAAAUGUCUUCCAACACAACUGCAUAAUUUCAUGUUGCCCCACAACCUAGCCAGUAUUUGAUGUCAAUGUUUUAUAAUUGGUCAUUCUAGUGGUGUGCAGUGAUACCCUAUUACUAUUUGAAUUUACAUUUCACUGAUGGCAUGUGGUGUAGGUCAUCUUUUUAUAUAAUUAUUUACCAUCUGGAUAUCUUUUUUGUGAAGUAUCUGGUACAGUCUUUUGCCCAUUUUAAAAUCAGGCUGUUUAGUUUCUUUUUAUAAAGUGUUAAAUGUUUUUUGUUUAUUUUGAAUACUAGUCCUGUAUCUGAAUAUGUCCUUGUACACACAUGUUUUAUCCCCAUUAUUGGCUUAUCUUCUUGUUUCACUAACAGCAUUUUUCAAAGAGGAUAAAAAUUAAUUUUUAUUAAUAUUAAUUCUUAGAUAUGUAUUUCAUAUAUUCCCUAAGAUAUGGAACAAGACAAAGAUGAUUCUCCAUAUAGAGAAACUGAAUAUUUAACCAAAAAACUACCAGCAUUGAUAAAUGAAUUUUGUAAAGUUUCAGAAUACAGUAUUAAUAUAAAAAAAUCAGUAGCACUUUUAUAUACCAAAGAGAUUAUGAAAAUAUUCCAUUUACAAUGGCUACAAAAAAUAAAAUACCUGGGGAUAAAUUUAAUUAAGGAAGUGAAAGACCUCUACACUGAAAUUUAUAAAAUACCCAUGAAAGAAAUUGAAGAAGACACACACAAAUAAACACAAAUGAAAAGACCUUCCAUGGAACAAUUAAUAUUGUUAAAAUGUCCAUAUUAUUCAAAGAAAUUCAUACAAAAUACCAAUAACAAAUCAUAAAAUUCAUAUGGAAGCCCAAAAGAUCCCAAAUAGCAAAAGCAAUCUUGAGCAAAAGGAGCAAAGCUGCAGGGCAUUCUGAUGUCUGUAUUCCAGAUAUACUACAGUGCUUUAGUAAUCCAAAACAAAAGGGUACUGGGAUAAAAAUAUUCACAUAGACCAUUGCAACUAAAUAGAAUUCCAUGAGGAACCCCAUGCAGUUAUAGUCAACUGAUUCUUGACAAAGGUGUCAAGAAAUACACUGAAGAAAAGACAAGCUCUUCAAUCAAAGGUGGUGGGAGAACUGGAUAUACAUAAAGCAGAAGUUUGAAACUUGGCCCCUGUCUCUCAGCCCAUAUGAAAGUAAACUCAAAAUGGAUCAUAGACCUAAAUGUAAGACUGCUAUUUUUGUUUUGUUUUUGUUGUUGUUUUUGCCUCCAUUCUCUUCUCCAUAAUUGCUGUACUAAUUUACGUUCUUAUCAACAACAUACAAGAGUUCCUUUUUUCUACACUGUUGCCAAUAUGUGUAUAUGUGUGUGUAUGUGUGUGUGUGUGUGUGUGUGUGUGUCUGUGUCUUUUCAAUAAUAACCAUUCUGCUUGGGAUGAGAUAUUAUGGUUCCAAUUUGCAUUUCUAAGAUAACUAAUGAUAUUGAGCAUUUUCUUAUAUAUUAGUUAGUUAUUUGUAUUCAUUCUCUUGAGAAGUAUAUAUUAAGGUCAUGCAACCAUUUAAAAGUUGUUUUAUAUUUUGUAGUUGAGUUUUUUUAGUUUCCUAUUUAUUCUGAAUAUCAAUCCUUUGUCAGAUUAGUAGUUAUCAAAUAUUUUCUCCAUUUUUUUCACUCCAUGUAUUACUACCUUUGUUUUGAAAAUGCUACUUAGUUUUAAAUAAUUUUAUUGGAUGGUUUUUGGCUUUAGUUGCUUGUGCUUUUGGAUCUUGUGAAAAAAUCCUUACCUACAUGGAUGUUAUUAAAUGUUUACCCUAUGUUUUCUUCUAGUAGUUUCAUGAUUUUAGGUCUUACAUUUAGGUCUAUUUAUAACCUAUGCAAUUUUUGGGAUGGUGGGCUCACCAUGGCUGAGGCUCACAUUCCAGACCACCUGGGGCCACCACUCUGCCUCCCUGGGACAAGGAUUUAGCUUUAGAAUCAACAUAAAUGCCCAUGAUUAGAUGAAUAAAGAAAGUGUGGUAUAUACACACAAUGGAGUAUUAUUUAGCCAUACAAAGAAUGAAAUUCUGUACUUUGCAGCAAAAUGGAUGGAACUUUAGGACAUGCUGAGAGAAAUAAGGUAGGUACUAAAAGACAUAUAACCCAUGUUCUCUUUCCUGUAGAUCUUUCAAAAAGUUGAUCUGAAUGUAGAAUAUGGAUUAAUAGUGACUGAGCGGAGUAGGGGGAAGGGAGAAGGGAGCGGGGGAAGGGAGUGGGGUAGGGAGAAUCAGAUAAUGGGAACAAAAUCAAAAUUGCAUAGGUUAUAAAUUUUAGUGUUCCAAAGCACAGUAGGGUGAAUAUAAUCCACAAUCACCUAUUAUAUAUUUUAUGAAGAACUAGAAGAGAGGAAUUUGAUGUCUCCAAGCAUAAAGAAGUGAUAAGGAUAUGGAAAUUCUAAUUUUCUUUAUUCAAUCUGUAAAUACUAUAAGCAUUAUUGAAAUAUCACCUCUACUCUAUGAAUAUAUAUAAUUGUUACAUGUUAAUAGAACAAAAUUAUAAAAGGGCUUCCAUUGACAAAAUAUGAGGCAAUUUGGGCAUUGUUAUAAAUAAUGAUAUAAAUAGAUUUUUGCUCAUUGAAUAAAGUAAAAUAAAUGUGAUUUUGUUUUAAUAAAUAAGUAAAAAUUUAACAAGUAAAUGUAUUACAUGGUAUUUCCAAUAAUAUCAUUUACUAUUAUUGAUUAUUGUUAAUGACAAUAACUGCAUAAAUGAAUGGGGAGGAAGGAAAAAUUUUCCUUACAUUAUAAGCAAUAUAGAAAGAAUGAGGGGGUUAAAGAAUUAUCAGUGGAUUCUAAAACUAGUGGGUGGAAAUUUUAUAAGGAGUGAUAUAGUUCCAUAAUCUUAAAUUAUUUCCUUAUGUAUUAGUCAGCUUUUCAUUGCUGUGACUCAAGUACCUGACAACAACAACUUAGAGAAGGAAAAGUUGGGCUUCAUAACUUCAAAGAUUGAGUCCAAGAUCAGCCAACUCCAUUCUUCUGGACCUGACGUAAGGCAGAACAUCUUGAUGGAAGGGUGGUGGAGGAGAAAAGCUGCUCAACUUAUGACAGCCAGAAAGCAGAGAGGGAAAAAAGGGGCAGGGGGACGGGAAUGAAUGUGUGUGCAUGAGAGAGUCAGAGAAAGACAAAGUUCAUGCAUGAAGGUAUAACCCCAAGGGCAAAAUAACCUCAUAAUUUGAAUAAACUCUUGGGUGGAAAUUGAGGCAGCCAUGCCCCAUCAGCCUAUAGUUACCACACAAUAGUUUAUUCAAAUGAUAAAUCUAUCCAAUGGAUUAAUCUCCUGAUGACAUUUUAUUAUUAUUGCCCAAAAGCCCCACCUCUGAAUCUUCCAAAACAUGAGCUUUUGAAGGUUAACUAAGUGACACGAGUGAUGAUGCAAUACUGGAACAAACUGACAUUAGAGGAACAUCAGUUUUGUAAAGAGUUUCAGGGGAAAAGAUUCAUGUUCUUAGUUGUAAUAUUUAGAUUCAAUGUAAGACAGCCCAAAUUGAGAGAUGUUUUAUAUUAUUUUGAGAGGUAGCAUAGUAUAAUGCUCAAGACUUAGUUUAAAUGCUGGCUCUCUCCAUUAGUAGCAGUUUGACUUUUGGAAAGCUAAAUAUGUAUGUCUCAGUUUCUUCAUUUGUAAAGUGGGAAUGAUAAUAGUCCUUUUAUGCUUUUAGAUCUGAAAUGUGUCCCCAGAAAGCUCAUGUAUUAGGAAAUGUAGCAAAGUUCAGAGGUGACAGAUGGAAUCAUGAGGGCUCUGACUUCCUAAGUGCACUAAUUCUUUUGAUGGAUUAAUAAUUGGAUUGCACUUAGUGGAAGGUAGUGAAAAUGAUAAGCAGGUGGAGCAUAGCUGAAGGAAGUAGGUCACUGGGGACUUGGCCUUGGCACUGUAUCUGUACCUGACUCUUUUCUAUUUCUCUCUGCUAUCUUACAGGGCUGUUAUGAGUAUUUAAUGAGUAAAUCCAUAUAAAGUGCUCAGAAUAGAGACUCACAGCUAAUAAGCCCAAUAAAUGUGUUUGCUGUCAUCAUUCAUUAAUUAAUUACAUUAAUUAAAUACAUUUAAUUACAUUUCUCAGUUACAGAAAAAAAUCACUUACUAAACUUGUACUAUAUCUAAGCAUCUAGAUGCUCAGAUUACAAAAUGCUUUUAAUUAAAAAUCAAACAAAUGCAGAUAAAACCAAAUCCUGUCCUGGUUAAGGGUAGUUUUAGGCCAGUAAAUAUUUAGCAUCCAGUCUGGGGAACAGUAAAGUACUUUAUGUAGAGGCAAAUGCCUCAAUCUAUCAACAUAAAUCACUGAAUGUGGAAAUGGGAAUUGAGGCAUACAAUCAGGCUGGAGCUGAUUUUAGCUUUCGAAAGUAUAUCACUGUAAAGGUGGCAUUUCAAUUAGAAUUUAAGUAGUAUGUGUUUUUGAAAUUGCACACUAAAUUUACAGAGAAAUAUUUGAAGGUACUGUAUGUUCUUAGUCACUUUAUAGUUCUUUUUUGUUUUUCUAUUCUCCUUCUCCUCCUGCUCUUCCUCCUCCUGCUCUUCUUCCUCUUCUUCCUCUCUCCUCCUCCUCCUCUUCUUCUUUGGUGUGUAUAUUUGAGUCUUUAAGAAAUCAAACAUUUAUUUUGUACAAUUAUCUCUCUAAAUAAAUCACUAUAGAAAUCAAAUUGUGUUAGGUAAAGAUUCAAAACUAAACAUGAUGAUCUAUCUGAUAAUUUCACUUUCAAUGCAAAAAUAUUUUUUAAAAAAAUCCAAAUUUUAAAUAAUGAUCCUAGGUGUGCAAUUCCCAAGGUGUGUGCAACUGUUCUGAUGGUUACCUGCCUCCAGAUUGCCAAACAAGUGCCAGAAGUGCUUUUAUGACUGUAAAAUUGGGCAAGUACUAGUCUCUUUAGAUAAAAUUUUCAAAUUUUUUAUCCUCUCUAAACUAACAUUAGAUUUUUAUCACUUGAAUCGAUACUAACAUUUUAAAGGUAAUCUGAGUUUUCUUAAAGAAUGUGAUCCAAAUAUGCCUUCUUAUUCUUUCUCUUUUUUAUAAUAUUAAAAUACCAUAAUUGAAUCUGAAUAUCUUUGAAACUUUUUCCUUACUGAUACCAUUGACUUUCUUCUUUAGAAUAUUUUUCAGCUGGCCUCUAUAUGAUUGAGUUUUCAACUGUAAGCAAAUAGUAUUUACUAUAUCUGGUACUAUUACUAUGUUUAUGUUAUAGAAGAAAUGAAAUAGAAGACAAAAUUUCAUUCCAAAGGAGUUUGUAGUUUAAAUGAGAACAAUCUGUAAUAGUUGUGGUGUGGAAGGGAGUGAAAAAGUGGUUUUCCAAAGAAGAGGAAUUCCUAAGUAGCGAGUAAGUUGAAUUUGUGUUCUGAAGCUAACCUUUAGUAGCAUUUUAAUCUAAUAAUAUGUAAGGUAAUAUGAGCAGCAACAACAAUUUGCGUUUUACCAGGAUUUUGAGUCAAUAUCUCAUUUAGUUGUGUGAGGUGUUUGUGAAUUUUUCUUUUGAAAGAUGCAGAGAUUUGGGAGUAUAGUUAAAUAACUUGCCAAAGUCAUUGCUCUGCCCUUAACUCCCACCCAGUUAAUCCUAUCAGGAGAUUAAUCCACUGAUUGGGUUAAGACUCUCAUAACCCAAUCAAUCCAGGUUUUCUACAGGAGCAUCACUAGUGUUUAUUAAAAAUGUACAUUUCUCAUGAUAGGACAGGCAUAGAGUAAUAGUUAUAGGUAUUCCCACUUUUUAAAGGAAGGUUAUAAAAUAUCUUCCCUGAGACUGCCUUGCCACCCAUUCAGGGGCCCAGGUCAGGCCCAGGAUAGGCCCCACCGACUAGGAGACCCACACUGAAGCUGAGAUCCAGGCCUUCUCCACAGCCCUCUCCACACAGUAGCCUCCACCUUGUGACAACAGACAGGGCCUAGAAGCAGGUGCAUCUCCAAGCAGGCAUCCCAAAGCCAGUGCAGAGCCUGCACUUUCAACCCCGUCUCUGAAAGAGGUUGCAUCAAUUUUGGGGGACCCCCACUACUAUCUCGAGUUACCUCUGCUAUUUCUGCAACCACCUUACUUGAAGUAGCAUUCAUUCAGGUACACUGGCAGAGUCUGGAAGCCCAACGCCAAGGUGAGGUACUGGUAAUCUGUCCAGAUACUACAAGAUUAUAGGGUAGAGAGCUGGGAUUGUGGCUUAGCGGUAGAGCGCUCACCCAGCACGUGUGAGGCCCUGGGUUUAAUCCUCAGCACCCCAUAAAAAUAAAUAAAUAAAUAAAAUAAAGAUAUUGUGUCCAACUACAACUAAAAAAUAAAUAUUAAAAAAAGAUUGCAGGGUAUAAAGUGUAAUACCUCAGAUCUUCACUGCAAGCAAGGAACACACAUAGACGAUAUGAAAAAACAAGGGAAGAAAGUGCCCCAAAUAAAUCAGAAUACUACAAUAAUAGAAUCCAUGGACAUCACAGUUAAUGAAAUGUCAGAGAAAGAGUUCAGAAUAUACAUAAUUGAAAUGAUAUGUGAGUUAAAGCAGGAACUAAAUGAGCAAAUAUUGAUCACUCCAACAAAGAGAUAAGAGGGCAAAUACAGGCAAACAUUGAUCACACCAACAAAGAGAUAAGGGAGCAAAUACAGGUAGCAAAAGAUUAGUUCAAGAAAGAGAGAUUCUGGGAAAAACACACACACACACACAAAAUAAAAAAUCCUUGAAAUAAAGGAAACAAUAUACCAAAUAAAAGACUCAAUAGAAAGCAUCACCAACAGAAUAGAUCACUUGGAAGACAGAAUGUCAGAUAAUGAAGACAGAGUAUACAAUCUGGAAAAUAAAGUUGACCACACAGUGAAGGUAGUAAGAAACCAUGAACAGAACAUCCAACCCUAACCCUAACCCAACAAUUAUGAAUAGCAUCAACAGACGAAAUCUAAGAGCUAUUGGGAUAGAGAAAGGCACAAAAAUUCAAACCAAAGGGAUGCACAAUCUCUUCAAUGAGAUAAUAUCAGAAAAUUUCCCAACAUGAAGAAUGAAUUGAAAAAUCAAAUACAGGUUGCUUACAAUACACCAAAUUGCAAAAUUUCAACAGAUCUAUACCAAGACACAUUAUAUUAAAAUGCCUAGCAUACAGAUUAAGGAUAGAAUUUGAAGGCCACAAAAGAGAAGCAUUAUAUCACAUAUAGGAGGAGACCAAUUCGUAUCUCAACAGAUUUUUCAACCCAGACCCUCAUAGCCAAGGAGGUCAUGGAACAACAUAUACCAAGCUCUGAAAGAUAAUGGAUGCCAACCAAGAAUCUUACAUUCAGCAAAAUUAAGCUUCGGAUUUAAUGAUGAAAUAAAACACUUUCAUGAUAAACAAAAGUUAAAAGAAUUUACAGUGAGAAAGCCUACACUACAGAGCACCCUCAGCAAAACAUUCAAGGAGGAGAAAAUUAAAAACAACAAUAAAAAUCAGCAAAGAGAGGAACUACACUAAAGGAAAGGCCCAUCAAAGGAGUAACCAAGUAAAAACCAAAAAUAAACCAAAAUGUCCAGGAAUUCAAAUCAUAUUUCAAUAAUAACCCGGAAUGUAAAUGGCCUAAAUUCAUCAAUUAAAAGACAUAGACUGACAGAUUGGAUUUACCAAAAAGACCCAAAAUAUGUUGCCUUCAAUGCUCAUCUUACAGGAAAAGACAUUCACAGACUGAAGGUGAAAGGGUGGGAAAAACUGUACCAGUCAUGUGGAACACAUAAACAAGCAGGGGUUUUCAUCCUCAUGUCAGAUAAAGUGGACCUCAAACCAAAGCUAAUAAAAAUGGAUAAAGAAGGACAUGUCAUACUGCUUAAGGGACACAUACAUCAAAAUGUCAUAACAAUCAUAAAUAUCUAUGACACAAACAAUGGGAAAUCUAUGUAAAACAAACCUUUCUCAAAUACAUGAACCAAAUAGACCACAACACAAUAAUACUGAGUGACUUUAAUACAUCUCUGUCAUCACUGGAUAGAUCUUCCAAGCAAAAACUACAGAAAGAAAAUAUAGAACUCUAUAAUAGUACAAAUAAUUUGGAAUUAACAGUCAUAUAUAGAAUAAUCCACCCAUCAAUGAGCAAAUACACUUCCUUCUCAGCAGCAAAUGCAUCCUUCUCCAAAAUAGACCAUAUGUUAUGCCACAAAGCAAGUCUUAGCAAACAAACAAACAAACAAAAAAUAGAGUUAGUAUCCUGCAUUAUAUCAGACUAUAAUGGAAUAAAAUUGGAAAUCAAUGAUAAAAUUUAAAAGAAAAGCUGCUCCAACACCUGGAGACUAAAAAAUACCCUAUGGAUAACAAAGGACAUCAGGAAGGAGAUAAAAAAAAAUCUUGGAGUUAAAAGAAAACUCCAAUACAACUGAUCAAAAUCUCUGGGACACAAUGAAGACAGUGCUAAGAGGCAAGUUCAUUGCAUGGAGUUCAUUUAUUAAAAUAAGAAAAAGUCAACAAAUAAACAACCUGACAUUAUACCUCAAAGCCUGGAAAAAGAAGAGAAAACUAAUACCAAAAGUAGUAGAAGAUAAGAAGUAAAUAAAGUCAGGGUGGAAUAGAGAAUGUAUUGGUACAACAUAUUUCUCAAAGAAAUGUCAUGUUUUUGGAACACUACAGACAGUUCAUUUAAUAUCCAGUUGACUCUCAGGGCCAGGAGACUUCAUAGGCCUAUUAAGUAAAGAGUUUUCAAAUUAUGGGACCUUAUAUAUCUGUUUGUAUUUCUAUCUUCCUUCUCAAGGUUUGGCAUCCAGAAGACAUUAAUGAAUGAAUGUAUAAAUGUAUUAAAUGAAGGCACAGAUAAUAGCUACAUCUACACUUUCAGGAUAUAAAACAUUUUGUACAAAACUGCAGAAUAUAAUGGUGGGAAGCUCUCUGUUAUAUAUAGUAAGAAUUCUCUUUUCUACAGUUGCCAAUAACAAGAUUCUCAUUUUCUUUUGAGCCCUCACUGACAAAGCCUUCAAUAUUCAACCUAGGUGCCCUUCAAUAGAUGAAUGAUAAAGAAACUGUAGUAUAUAUGCACAAUGGAAUAUUACUCAGCAUUAAAAGAGAAUAAAAUUAUGCAUUUGCAGGUAAAUGGAUGGAAUUGGAGAAUAUCGGGCUAAGCAAAGUAAGCCAAUCCCAGAAAACCAAAGGAUGAAUGUUGUCUCUUAUAAGUGGAUACUGAUUCAUAUGGGAGAGGGAGGAAUGGGGGAACUUUGAUUAGACAAAGUGGAGGGAGAACUGGGGAGUAUGCAUGGGGGCAGAAAAGAUGGUGGAAUGAGGUGGACAUCAUUACCCUAGGUACAUGUAUGACUGCACAUAUGGUAUGACACUAUAUCGUAUGCAACUAAAGCAAUGAAAAGUUAUGCUGCAAUUGUGUACAGUGAAUCAAAAUGCAUUCGGCUGUCAUAUAUACCUAAUUGGAAUUAAUUAAUUAAUUAAUAAAAAU
rnacentral:lncRNA from 1 species